CCUACGGGAGGCAGCAGUGAGGAAUAUUGGUCAAUGGGCGUAAGCCUGAACCAGCCAAGUCGCGUGAGGGAUGAAGGUUCUAUGGAUCGUAAACCUCUUUUAUAAGGGAAUAAAGUGUGGGACGUGUCCUAUUUUGUAUGUACCUUAUGAAUAAGGAUCGGCUAACUCCGUGCCAGCAGCCGCGGUAAUACGGAGGAUCCGAGCGUUGUCCGGAAUUAUUGGGUUUAAAGGGUGCGUAGGGGGCCUUUUAAGUCAGCGGUGAAAGGCUGUGGCUCAACCAUAGAAUUGCAGUUGAAAAUGGGGGGCUAGAGUAUUUUUGAGGCAGGCGGAAUGCGUGGUGUAGCGGUGAAAUGCUUAGAUAUCACGCAGAACCCCGAUUGCGAAGGCAGCCUGCCAAGCCAUGACUGACGCUGAUGCACGAAGGCGUGGGGAUCAAACAGGAUUAGAUACCCGUGUAGUC
rnacentral:rRNA from 1 species